AGGGUUUGAUUAUGGCUCAGAACGUACGCUGGCGGCACGCCUAACACAUGCAAGUCGAACGAAGUAGUAAUACUUAGUGGCAGACGGGUGAGUAACAUGUAGGUAUCUGCCCUUUGGCCUGGAAUAACACGAGGAAACUUGUGCUAAUACCGGAUAAGUCUUUACGGAGAAAGCUUUAUGCACCAUUGGAUGAGCCUGCACUUGAUUAGUUUGUUGGUGGGGUAAUGGCCUACCAAGACUGUGAUCAAUAGCUGAUUUGAGAGGAUGAUCAGCCACAUUGGGACUGAGACACGGCCCAAACUCCUACGGGAGGCAGCAGUGGGGAAUCUUGCACAAUGGAGGAAACUCUGAUGCAGCGAUGCCGCGUGAGUGAAGAAGGCCCUUGGGUUGUAAAGCUCUUUCGUCGGGGAAGAAAAUGACUGUACCCGAAUAAGAAGGUCCGGCUAACUUCGUGCCAGCCGCCGCGGUAAUAC
rnacentral:rRNA from 1 species